GGGUGUACCUCGUGCUCGAACGCAUCUCGAUUCCACAAUUUCCGACGCACCACUCACUUCAAUCCAGUGAAACCCGAAUGCCUUCGUUCCGUAAACGCUCGCCGAGCGUCAGCGAGCACAGAAAUCGCAGCGAGAGCCGAGAGCGUCGCCGAAAUCGCAGCCCCAAGCGAGAAAAGCAUAGCAAGAAGCGGAAGAACAGUGAAUCAAAAGAAGGGAAAACGAAGGGAGAAGGGAAGAGAACCCGGUCGACCUCUAGAGAGAAAAGCAAAAAAUACGACGAUGAGCGCGAUUCAUCGCCGAAGACGACUGGCAGCGGCGGUGGAAAGAAACAUAAGAAACACAAGCGUCACAAGCGGAAGCAUAAACACCAUCGCCAGGAGUCGUCGUCGCCCGACCGGGAGGAGGCCGAGUCGGACAGACACGGUGACAGACAUUGGGACAACAGAGGAAGGAGAGAUGGGAGGGAUGGUGAGAGAUACCAUAGUGAUUUCGAUAGAUACAACGAAGGCAGGAGUUUCAAACAAUUCAAAUAUAAGGAGAGAGGCUUCUUCCGGCGUGGUAGAGGCAGAAGAGGUCGUGUACAAAACUUUAGACCGCGCUCACGGUCUAGAGACUCGUCGACGUCUCGAUCUCAUCCAUCGAGAGAUUAUCACCGUAGGAAAUAUUCGUCUGAUUCGGAUAGUGAUGAUAGUGGAUCACGUGACAGACAUAGAGGAAGGAAAUCGUACUCUUCGUCUCCUUCUCCUAAGAGAAAGCGAAGAGAGUCUGAUGAGAAGAUGGAUGACAAGAAGAGCAUUAGUAUAGUGGAUAGAGUGCUGGGUAAGAAGAGUUUGGCAAAGGCAACCGUGACGAGUUCGAGUGACUCUGCAGUGAAGGAUGAGAAAGUGGAGACUAAUAAGGUCAACGAGGAGAAAGAACUACUUGCAGAGAACGAUACUAAGUCACCAGAAACCAAAGUUGAUCCUCCACCAUUGCCACCACCGCCACCACCUCCAGUCGUGAUAAGCACAGAAGAGCCAGUGAAGGCUGCGGACGUUCCAGUCGAAGAGAAAAAGAGUAUUAUUAUUAAACCAAGAUCUAAGCGUUCCGAGUUUCGUCCAACCCUUCAGCCCAUAGUUCUUCCACCGUUGCCUGGUAAAGAAGACAGCAAUGUAAAACCAAAGGACGAAGUCGAUGCGGCUAUUAGUCCAACGUCUUUUUCUUCAAAGAAAUCGGCUUCUAGGAAUCAAAUGACAAACGUGGAUACACACAGAAAACGUCGAACUGGAGGCAAGAGCAAGCUUCCGUCUAAGAGUCCAAGGAUGGGACUACACAAUGGACAGGCAAGCAAGAGCGAGCAGCAGUGGCAAUUGAAUCGUUCCAUUGAUGAUUACGAGAUCUUGGAAGAGAUCGGGGAAGGAACGUAUGGACAAGUGUAUAAGGCCCGCGAUCGGUCUACGACCGAUUUAUGUGCGUUAAAGAAAGUCAGGUUAGACAACGAGAAGGAAGGCUUUCCUAUAACUGCAGUGCGAGAGAUCAAGAUCUUGAGGCAGUUGAAUCACGUGAACGUCGUCGCUCUAAAGGAGAUCAUUACUGACAAGUCAAACGCAGAAGAUUUCAGACACAACAAAGGUGACUUCUAUUUGGUAUUUGAGUAUGCUGAACACGACUUGAUGGGUCUACUGGAGUCUGGUGUGGUCGCGUUCAAGGAGGAACACAUUCGAUGUCUCAUGAAACAGUUGUUCUUGGCACUGAACCAUUGCCAUGAGAAGAACCUCCUCCAUCGAGACAUCAAAUGUUCAAACAUUCUUCUCAACAACAGAGGCGAGAUGAAACUGGCAGAUUUUGGGUUGGCACGAUUUUACAACCCGGACGACAAAGGUCGUCCAUAUACUAACAAAGUCAUCACUCUAUGGUAUCGUCCACCCGAGCUCUUGCUAGGAGAAGAAUGCUACGGUCCAUGCAUCGACGUCUGGUCGUGUGGAUGUAUUUUAGGCGAACUAUUUAUUAAGAAGCCGCUAUUUCAAGCCAACCAGGAAUUGGCUCAGUUAGAGACGAUCAGUCGGAUAUGUGGGACACCUACCGAGGCCGUAUGGCCAGACGUCGUCAAACUGCCUCAUUUCAGUACCGUUCAACCAAAGAAGAUUUACCGAAGAAAACUGAGAGAAGAAUUUAUCUUUUUGCCAAGCGAUGGUCUCGAUUUGCUCGACAAACUCCUAGUACUGGAUCCUUCCAAGCGUCUCACAGCAAAACAAGCACUUGAACACCCUUUCCUGGCGAAUGUAGAUGUGGACGAGGGAAGCUUUCCAGAUCUGCCGAAGUGGCAAGACUGUCACGAACUCUGGUCGAAGAAACAACGACGAAAAGCCGAGGGACGCAACUCGGAUGGAACAUGGCCCGAAAAGAAAGACUCUGAUUCUAAGAGUAGUAAACCGAUAUCUGUAGCAUCUGAAUCGAAGGAUGCAGGUAAGGUGGCCGAUGUAGCCGAGCCAGAUCGCGGACUGGCCGCUAGAUUAGAUCGACUACUCGAAGAGGAACCGAGUCAGAUCUCAUUAGGACGUUUAGCCUUACUUCUAUUAUCACAUGCCGAACACAUUGUUAUACAACCGGAUGAACCUCUAGUUGGGCUACCGGCUCUUCUGGAGGCACACGGGCUGACAAGAAAGCUGCUGCAGAGAUCGCCCGGUUCGUUAUCGACUCAUCCCGAAGAUCCACUCUUUGCAUUGCAUCAGAGUUUGGUGGCGAGCGAGGAUCUUAGAGAAGCACUGGUUGCUGCUUUGGAGGCCGAUCCUAUACCACCAUUGGGCGAGACGGAUGCUUUGUAUGGAGACUUGCCCCCACCUCCACCCCCAUCUCGGGGGUACAAACCGGAUCCCUAUGCUAGUCGUCCACCACCACCGCCGCCACCUUUACUUCAUUCGAGGAGGACCUACCAUCGAUAUCGAGCUCCCGAUCCGGACUACUCGCUGCCACAGCCGCCUGCACCUCCACCGCCCUCGUCGCCUCCUGGAGACGAGAUGUACGACGAAUGUUAUGAGGAACGAUAUGGAUACAGAAGGUAUCACGAGAGGAGAGCAGAUGGAUAUGGUGGUUGGGAUAUAUGAGUCUUUGGAUCCUUUUCUGUCGUGGAUGGGAGAACAAUGAAAUGCAAGAGAAAUUGUGGUAGCUGUCUAGAGUCUAUAGCUUGCUCUCACAUUGAGAAUUGAUAAUGAAGCUGUUUGCUACUACACAAUACUUGCUGCACCAAAGUGUUGCUGCAGAGCAGUGUAACUGUGUAAACUAUGGUGCUGUCAGAUUGCCGUCCGCAACUGAACUGUAGCAAGACAGACGGUCGUACUGCAUCCAAAGCAUGCGAGUUGCAAGUCAUGGAUACAGUUGAUAUCAACUACAAGAGUUUGUCUUGAGUUUUUGGAAUAUGCAGCAGUAGAGAGAUGGAAGCUUGGAUACUCAGAUGACAUGGAGACGACUGUAACACCCAAUUCGAUGUCAAAGAUAUUAGUGACAAAAAUGUUGGCUAUAUUUACCAGCCGUGCAAGAAUUUGAAGCUUGGUGGUGAUUGCGACAGUUCGCAAGUUGUCCUGUGCAAGUCGGUUGUCAAGAAUGAUACUAUUGUAAAGUCUGUUGCUGCUACUGCAGAUGGUGUGUCGUUCGUGGUGAAUGGUGCUGGCAAUGUGACGAUCGUUUACCCUGGGAAGGACAACAGAUCUACGGUCUACGUGGAAUUGGUGUGUAAUCAUCAGUCAAAAACUUUGUUCCGACAACGAAGUCAACCGAACAGACAUGGCAGUCAAUCAGAUCUGUAUUUCGCAUUGGAAUACAGUGGAGUUUGCCUGACAACAAAUGCUCCAGUGACAACAAUUGCUCCAGUGACAAACAUUCCCAAGAAGACUUGCUCUCUCUCUGAUUGUUCUUUCUACUUGGAGGUGACCAUACCGGCAACAGCCGUCGGAACGUCGCUUAUCAUCAUCAUUCUAUCGUGUCUGUGGUUCAGGCACAAGGACAGACAGUUCAGCCGCUAUACUACACUGUAGUGCGCAUGACUUGAAACAGUGACUGUAACAAAUUAGGUGGUACUUUUCUAUGCAUGUCUGUCGUAUUGUGUUUGGGAUAAGCAGCAUUUGGCUUAUGCAUACAUGCAAUGCUACAGGGUUGAUUGUUAUGAUAAACUGUUCUUGAAGUAGCUUUCUGCAUAUAAAAUGCACUACCUAUACUGUACAAACAAAUAGGCAAUAAAUACUACCAAGCAGUAAU